rnacentral:rRNA from 1 species
GUCUACGGCCAUAUCACCCUGAACCAGCCCGAUCUCGUCUGAUCUAGAAAGCUAAGCAAGGUCAGGCCUGGUUAGUACUUGGAUGGGAGAUAAGGCUGGGAAAAAAAAAGGUUUCAUUCU